UACGGAGGGGGCUAGCGUUGUUCGGAAUUACUGGGCGUAAAGCGCACGUAGGCGGCUUUGUAAGUUAGAGGUGAAAGCCCGGGGCUCAACUCCGGAAUUGCCUUUAAGACUGCAUCGCUCGAAUUGUGGAGAGGUGAGUGGAAUUCCGAGUGUAGAGGUGAAAUUCGUAGAUAUUCGGAAGAACACCAGUGGCGAAGGCGACUUACUGGACACAUAUUGACGCUGAGGUGCGAAAGCGUGGGGAUCAAACAGG
rnacentral:rRNA from 1 species